UGCGCAUUCAGCCGAAAGGGAGGAGAGGAGGCGGAGAGGAGGAGGAGAGCUCCCAGCCCGGCGCUGGAGAAAGAGGUAAGUUUAACCCCUUUCUUCUCCCCAGAGCCGGGCGGGAGGGGGUCCCUGAAGGUGGGGGCACCCUCAGGGCACUAUAGUGCCAGGAAAACAAGUAUGUUUUCCUGGCACUAUAGUGGUCCUUUAA